rnacentral:rRNA from 1 species
GAUGAACGCUGGCGGCGUGCCUAAUACAUGCAAGUCGAGCGAACAGACGAGGAGCUUGCUCCUCUGACGUUAGCGGCGGACGGGUGAGUAACACGUGGAUAACCUACCUAUAAGACUGGGAUAACUUCGGGAAACCGGAGCUAAUACCAGAUAAUAUAUUGAACCGCAUGGUUCAAUAGUGAAAGACGGUUUUGCUGUCACUUAUAGAUGGAUCCGCGCCGCAUUAGCUAGUUGGUAAGGUAACGGCUUACCAAGGCGACGAUGCGUAGCCGACCUGAGAGGGUGAUCGGCCACACUGGAACUGAGACACGGUCCAGACUCCUACGGGAGGCAGCAGUAGGGAAUCUUCCGCAAUGGGCGAAAGCUUGACGGAGCAACGCCGCGUGAGUGAUGAAGGUCUUCGGAUCGUAAAACUCUGUUAUUAGGGAAGAACAAAUGUGUAAGUAACUAUGCACGUCUUGACGGUACCUAAUCAGAAAGCCACGGCUAACUACGUG